AUACAUGCAAGUCGAACGAGCUUCCGUUGAAUGACGUGCUUGCACUGAUUUCAACAAUGAAGCGAGUGGCGAACUGGUGAGUAACACGUGGGAAAUCUGCCCAGAAGCAGGGGAUAACACUUGGAAACAGGUGCUAAUACCGUAUACCAACAAAAUCCGCAUGGAUUUUGUUUGAAAGGUGGCUUCGGCUAUCACUUCUGGAUGAUCCCGCGGCGUAUUAGUUAGUUGGUGAGGUAAAGGCCCACCAAGACGAUGAUACGUAGCCGACCUGAGAGGGUAAUCGGCCACAUUGGGACUGAGACACGGCCCAAACUCCUACGGGAGGCAGCAGUAGGGAAUCUUCCACAAUGGACGAAAGUCUGAUGGAGCAAUGCCGCGUGAGUGAAGAAGGGUUUCGGCUCGUAAAACUCUGUUGUUAAAGAAGAACACCUUUGAGAGUAACUGUUCAAGGGUUGACGGUAUUUAACCAGAAAGCCACGGCUAACUACGUGCCAGCAGCCGCGGUAAUACGUAGGUGGCAAGCGUUGUCCGGAUUUAUUGGGCGUAAAGCGAGCGCAGGCGGUUUUUUAAGUCUGAUGUGAAAGCCUUCGGCUUAACCGGAGAAGUGCAUCGGAAACUGGGAGACUUGAGUGCAGAAGAGGACAGUGGAACUCCAUGUGUAGCGGUGGAAUGCGUAGAUAUAUGGAAGAACACCAGUGGCGAAGGCGGCUGUCUAGUCUGUAACUGACGCUGAGGC
rnacentral:rRNA from 1 species